rnacentral:rRNA from 1 species
GACGAACGCUGGCGGCGUGCUUAACACAUGCAAGUCGAACGGAAAGGCCCUGCUUUUGUGGGGUGCUCGAGUGGCGAACGGGUGAGUAACACGUGAGUAACCUGCCCUUGACUUUGGGAUAACUUCAGGAAACUGGGGCUAAUACCGGAUAGGAGCUCCUGCUGCAUGGUGGGGGUUGGAAAGUUUCGGCGGUUGGGGAUGGACUCGCGGCUUAUCAGCUUGUUGGUGGGGUAGUGGCUUACCAAGGCUUUGACGGGUAGCCGGCCUGAGAGGGGGACCGGCCACAUUGGGACUGAGGUACGGCCCAGACUCCUACGGGAGGCAGCAGUGGGGAAUAUUGCACAAUGGGCGGAAGCCUGAUGCAGCAACGCCGCGUGCGGGAUGACGGCCUUCGGGUUGUAAACCGCAUUCGCCUGUGACGAAGCGUGAGUGACGGUAAUGGGUAAAGAAGCACCGGCUAACUACGUG